GGAAGUAAAAGUCGUAACAAGGUUUCCGUAGGUGAACCUGCGGAAGGAUCAUUACUGAUUUAGCGAACCGAGCGUUAGCGAGGUUUUGCGAUCAACUUGUAUUUAAAACCCACUCUUCAAUGUAUAAAAUUUGUAUUAAUGAUAAAUUAAAAGAUCACUUUCAACAACGGAUCUCUUGGCUCUCGCAUCGACGAAGAACGUAGCGAAGUGCGAUAAGUAAUGUGAAUUGCAGUAUUCCGUGAAUCAUCGAACCUUUGAACGCAUAUUGCACUUUCUGGUAUUCCGGAAAGUAUGCCUGUUUGAGGGUCAGUUAAAUAAAAAUCGGUGUUGUUGCCGCUUUCCGUGGUGACGCGUCGGAAUUGAGUCGUCUUCGGUUAAGUGACUUAAAAUUUUAUAUGAUUUUCGAACGUAUUUAAAUUUAUUUGAACGUUUGAUAUCGAAUGCUUAUUAGGUUCGGUCAUCCUCAUGACUCGCGCCUAUAAUUUUUCAUUAAAUGACCUCAAAUCAGGUAAGAAUACCCGCUGAACUUAAGCAUAUCAAUAAGCGGAGGA
rnacentral:rRNA from 1 species